CGUUCCCGCAUCGUCUACCGAAAGAGAAAAUGUCGUCCAAGCCCCCCAUCAUCGGAGACAUAUUUACAAUCAAAACUGACCACUUUCCCCGCUAAAGCCACCGCCCCUCCCCGGUUGGGGGGGGGGGGUUACCCUGACUGCUGCAUAAAUGUGAUUCCCUAAUAAGUUUUCAUUUUUGCAGGUGGUGGAACCGUUACCCCCACUACACUCCCCAAUGAAACAAAGCCUACGUCCACACCUACGUACGUUACCACCACUACACUCCCCAAUGCAACAACGCCUGCACCUACAAGUGAACCAGACUAUGGCCCUGGUCCUUGGACAAACGUUCGUCUCCCCACCUACUUUAAAUCCCACCACUAUGACCUUGAACUUGUUGUGAAUCUCGAGCCUAAGCUGAUAUUCAGUGGUGAUGUGUCAGUUAAUGUUACCUUAUCGCAAGAAACUCCAUAUAUGUACCUACAUACCAAUAAACUGAACAUCUCUAAUCCCACGCUGAAAAAAGAUGGUA
rnacentral:lncRNA from 1 species